AUCGAAGGAGUGGCGAACGGGUGAGUAAUACAUAAGCAACCUACCCACGAAGACUGGGAUAAUCUCUGGAAACGGGGACUAAUACCGGAUAGGUAAUCGGAAGGCAUCUUCUGGUUAUUAAAGGUUAAAAACACUGGUGGAUGGGCUUAUGGCGCAUUAGUUAGUUGGUGAGGUAACGGCCCACCAAGACGAUGAUGCGUAGCCGGCCCGAGAGGGUGAACGGCCACAUUGGGACUGAGACACGGCCCAG
rnacentral:rRNA from 1 species